UCAAAUUUCUCCUGGUUUAGUGGAGACAGAAUUUGCCUACCGACUCUUUAGUGAAAACCCAGAAAUAGCUGUUGCUACCUACAAAAGUGUAAAGUGCCUACAAGCAGCUGACAUUGCAAACGCAGUGGUGUAUGUCCUGAGUGCUCCUCCUCAUGUUCAAAUUGGUGACAUUGAGAUCACGCCAGUGGAGCAGUCGAUGUAACGAGCAAAUAAACGGGAUCAAGCAUCUCUGACACAUUGUGA